GCGGUAAUACGUAGGGUGCGAGCGUUAUCGGGAAUUAUUGGGCGUAAAGGGCUCGUAGGCGGUUCGUCGCGUCCGGUGUGAAAGUCCAUCGCUUAACGGUGGAUCCGCGCCGGGUACGGGCGGGCUUGAGUGCGGUAGGGGAGACUGGAAUUCCCGGUGUAACGGUGGAAUGUGUAGAUAUCGGGAAGAACACCAAUGGCGAAGGCAGGUCUCUGGGCCGUUACUGACGCUGAGGAGCGAAAGCGUGGGGAGCGAACAGGAUUAGAUACCCUGGUAGUCCACGCCGUAAACGGUGGAUGCUGGAUGUGGGGCCCGUUCCACGGGUUCCGUGUCGGAGCUAACGCGUUAAGCAUCCCGCCUGGGGAGUACGGCCGCAAGGCUAAAACUCAAAGAAAUUGACGGGGGCCCGCACAAGCGGCGGAGCAUGCGGAUUAAUUCGAUGCAACGCGAAGAACCUUACCUGGGCUUGACAUGUUCCCGACGGUCGUAGAGAUACGGCUUCCCUUCGGGGCGGGUUCACAGGUGGUGCAUGGUCGUCGUCAGCUCGUGUCGUGAGAUGUUGGGUUAAGUCCCGCAACGAGCGCAACCCUCGCCCCGUGUUGCCAGCGGAUUAUGCCGGGAACUCACGGGGGACCGCCGGGGUUAACUCGGAGGAAGGUGGGGAUGACGUCAGAUCAUCAUGCCCCUUACGUCCAGGGCUUCACGCAUGCUACAAUGGCCGGUACAACGGGAUGCGACGCGGCGACGCGGAGCGGAUCCCUGAAAACCGGUCUCAGUUCGGAUCGCAGUCUGCAACUCGACUGCGUGAAGGCGGAGUCGCUAGUAAUCGCGAAUCAGCAACGUCGCGGUGAAUGCGUCAC
rnacentral:rRNA from 1 species